rnacentral:rRNA from 1 species
CUACGGGCGGCAGCAGUGAGGAAUAUUGCACAAUGGGGGGAACCCUGAUGCAGCAACGCCGCGUGGAGGAUGACGCAUUUCGGUGUGUAAACUCCUUUUAUAUGUCAAGAAAAUGACGGUAGCAUAUGAAUAAGCACCGGCUAACUCCGUGCCAGCAGCCGCGGUAAUACGGAGGGUGCAAGCGUUACUCGGAAUCACUGGGCGUAAAGGACGCGUAGGCGGGUUGGAAAGUCAGGUGUGAAAUCCUACAGCUUAACUGUAGAACUGCACUUGAAACUUCUAAUCUAGAGUAUGGGAGGGGGAGAUGGAAUUAGUGGUGUAGGGGUAAAAUCCGUAGAUAUCACUAGGAAUACCGAAAGCGAAGGCGAUCUCCUGGAACAUUACUGACGCUAAGGCGUGAAAGCGUGAGGAGCAAACAGGAUUAGAUACCCCCGUAGUC